UACGUAGGGUGCAAGCGUUAAUCGGAAUUACUGGGCGUAAAGCGUGCGCAGGCGGUGAUGUAAGACAGUUGUGAAAUCCCCGGGCUCAACCUGGGAACUGCAUCUGUGACUGCAUCGCUGGAGUGCGGCAGAGGGGGAUGGAAUUCCGCGUGUAGCAGUGAAAUGCGUAGAUAUGCGGAGGAACACCGAUGGCGAAGGCAAUCCCCUGGGCCGCACUGACGCUCAU
rnacentral:rRNA from 1 species